rnacentral:rRNA from 1 species
GUCGAACGCGAAAGCCCCGCAAGGGGUAAGUAGAGUGGCAAACGGGUGAGUAACACGUGGGUGACCUGCCUUAGAGUGGGGGAUAACGUCCCGAAAGGGACGCUAAUACCGCAUAACAUCCUGCCUUUGAAGAGGUGGAGAUCAAAGCCGGGGACCGCAAGGCCUGGCGCUUAAAGAGGGGCCCGCGCCUGAUUAGCUAGUUGGUGGGGUAAUGGCUCACCAAGGCAACGAUCAGUAUCCGGCCUGAGAGGGCGGACGGACACACUGGGACUGAGACACGGCCCAGACUCCUACGGGAGGCAGCAGUGGGGAAUUGUUCGCAAUGGGCGCAAGCCUGACGACGCAACGCCGCGUGGAGGAUGAAGACCUUCGGGUCGUAAACUCCUUUCGAUCGAGACGAACAGCCAUCGGGUGAAUAGCCUGGAGGUUUGACGGUACCGAGAGAAGAAGCCCCGGCUAACUCCGUGCCAGCAGCCGCGGUAAUACGGGGGGGGCAAGCGUUGUUCGGAAUUACUGGGCGUAAAGGGCUCGUAGGUGGCCAACUAAGUCAGACGUGAAAUCCCUCGGCUUAACCGGGGAACUGCGUCUGAUACUGGAUGGCUUGAGUUCGGGAGAGGGAUGCGGAAUUCCAGGUGUAGCGGUGAAAUGCGUAGAUAUCUGGAGGAACACCGGUGG